rnacentral:rRNA from 1 species
AGAGUUUGAUUCUGGCUCACGCUUUAAGCUGGCGGCGUGCCUAACACAUGCAAGUCGAACGCCCUUAACAUGAAACCUAGUGAUUGUUAAGUUAGUGGCGGACGGGUGAGUAACGCGUGGAUAACCUGCCGUAUGCCCGGGGAUAACAGUUGGAAACAGCUGCUAAUACCGCAUAAGCGCACAGUGCCGCAUGAUGCAGUGCGAAAAGAUUUAUCGGCAUACGAUGGAUCCGCGUCCGAUUAUCCAGUUGGCGGGGUAACGGCCCACCAAAGCGACGAUCGGUAGCCGGCCUGAGAGGGCGGACGGCCACAUUGGGACUGAGACACGGCCCAAACUCCUACGGGAGGCAGCAGUGGGGAAUAUUGCUCAAUGGGGGAAACCCUGAUGCAGCGACGCCGCGUGGGUGAAGAAGUACUUCGGUACGUAAAGCCCUAUCACCAGGGAAGAAAAUGACGGUACCUGAUUAAGAAGCCCCGGCUAACUACGUGCCAGCAGCCGCGGUAAUACGUAGGGGGCAAGCGUUAUCCGGAUUUACUGGGUGUAAAGGGAGCGUAGACGGCAUUGCAAGUCCGGAGUGAAAGCCCACGGCCCAACCGUGGGACUGCUCUGGAAACUGUAGAGCUGGAGUGCGGGAGGGGCAGGCGGAAUUCCUAGUGUACCGCUGAAAUGCGUAGAUAUUAUGAAGAACACCCGGCGGCGAAUGUCCGCCUGCUGGACCGAAACUGACCUUUAUGCUCUAUAGUGUGGGUAGCAAACAGAAUAAAUUCCCUGCUUAUCCUCGCCGUUAACGAUUG